rnacentral:rRNA from 1 species
GACGAACGCUGGCGGCGUGCCUAACACAUGCAAGUCGAACGGGGGCAAUUUCUUCGGAGGUUGCUUAGUGGCGAACGGGUGAGUAACGCGUGAGAAACCUGCCUUUCAGUGGGGGACAACAGUUGGAAACGACUGCUAAUACCGCAUAACACUUUAGUACCGCAUGGUACAGAAGUCAAAGCUUUAUGUGCUGAGAGAUGGUCUCGCGUCUGAUUAGCUAGAUGGCGGGGUAACGGCCCACCAUGGCGACGAUCAGUAGCCGAUCUGAGAGGAUGAACGGCCACAUUGGGACUGAGAUACGGCCCAGACUCCUACGGGAGGCAGCAGUGGGGAAUAUUGGGCAAUGGGGGAAACCCUGACCCAGCAACGCCGCGUGAAGGAAGAAGGCCUUCGGGUUGUAAACUUCUUUUACCAGGGACGAAGAACGUGACGGUACCUGGAGAAAAAGCAACGGCUAACUACGUG